UACAGAGGGGGCAAGCGUUGUCCGGAAUUAUUGGGCGUAAAGAGCUCGUAGGCGGUCUGUCGCGUCGGCUGUGAAAUCCCGAGGCUCAACCUCGGGUCUGCAGUCGAUACGGGCAAACUAGAGUAUUGCAGGGGAGACUGGAAUUCCUGGUGUAGCGGUGAAAUGCGCAGAUAUCAGGAGGAACACCGGUGGCGAAGGCGGGUCUCUGGGCAAUAACUGACGCUGAGGAGCGAAAGCGUGGGGAGCGAACAGG
rnacentral:rRNA from 1 species